rnacentral:rRNA from 1 species
ACAGACGAGGAGCUUGCUCCUCUGACGUUAGCGGCGGACGGGUGAGUAACACGUGGAUAACCUACCUAUAAGACUGGGAUAACUUCGGGAAACCGGAGCUAAUACCGGAUAAUAUAUUGAACCGCAUGGUUCAAUAGUGAAAGACGGUUUUGCUGUCACUUAUAGAUGGAUCCGCGCCGCAUUAGCUAGUUGGUAAGGUAACGGCUUACCAAGGCAACGAUGCGUAGCCGACCUGAGAGGGUGAUCGGCCACACUGGAACUGAGACACGGUCCAGACUCCUACGGGAGGCAGCAGUAGGGAAUCUUCCGCAAUGGGCGAAAGCCUGACGGAGCAACGCCGCGUGUGUGAUGAAGGUCUUCGGAUCGUAAAACUCUGUUAUUAGGGAAGAACAAAUGUGUAAGUAACUAUGCACGUCUUGACGGUACCUAAUCAGAAAGCCACGGCUAACUACGUGCCAGCAGCCGCGAUAAUACGUAGGUGGCAAGCGUUAUCCGGAAUUAUUGGGCGUAAAGCGCGCGUAGGCGGUUUUUUAAGUCUGAUGUGAAAGCCCACGGCUCAACCGUGGAGGGUCAUUGGAAACUGGAAAACUUGAGUGCAGAAGAGGAAAGUGGAAUUCCAUGUGUAGCGGUGAAAUGCGCAGAGAUAUGGAGGAACACCAGUGGCGAAGGCGACUUUCUGGUCUGUAACUGACGCUGAUGUGCGAAAGCGUGGGGAUCAAACAGGA